rnacentral:rRNA from 1 species
AACGCGAAGAACCUUACCUACCCUUGACAUACAGAGAACUUUCUAGAGAUAGAUUGGUGCCUUCGGGAACUCUGAUACAGGUGCUGCAUGGCUGUCGUCAGCUCGUGUCGUGAGAUGUUGGGUUAAGUCCCGUAACGAGCGCAACCCUUAUCCUUAGUUGCUACCAUUUAGUUGGGCACUCUAAGGAGACUGCCGGUGAUAAACCGGAGGAGGGUGGGGACGACGUCAAGUCAUCAUGGCCCUUAUGGGUAGGGCUACACACGUGCUACAAUGGCCGGUACAGAGGGCCGCAAACUCGCGAGAGUAAGCUAAUCCCUUAAAGCCGGUCCUAGUCCGGAUUGCAGUCUGCAACUCGACUGCAUGAAGCUGGAAUCGCUAGUAAUCGCGGAUCAGAAUGCCGCGGUGAAUUCGUUCCCGGGUCUUGUACACACCG